rnacentral:rRNA from 1 species
GACGAACGCUGGCGGCGUGCUUAACAUAUGCAAGUCGAGCGGUAAGGCCCUUUCGGGGGUACACGAGCGGCGAACGGGUGAGUAACACGUGGGUGACCUGCCCUUAGCUCUGGGAUAAGCCUGGGAAACUGGGUCUAAUACCGGAUAUGACUCCAUAACGCAUGUUGUGGGGUGGAAAGCCUUGUGCGGCUAGGGAUGGGCCCGCGGCCUAUCAGCUUGUUGGUGGGGUGAUGGCCUACCAAGGCGACGACGGGUAGCCGGCCUGAGAGGGCGACCGGCCACACUGGGACUGAGACACGGCCCAGACUCCUACGGGAGGCAGCAGUGGGGAAUCUUGCGCAAUGGGCGAAAGCCUGACGCAGCGACGCCGCGU